UCCCGUGUGGCUCAGUUGGUAGAGCAUGGUGUUUGCAACACCAGGGUUGUGGGUUCAAUUCCCACGGGGGAG
rnacentral:tRNA from 1 species